GGUGUAGCUCAGUGGCAGAGCGCAUGCCUAGCAUGCAUGAGGUCCUGGGUUUGAUUCCCAGUACACCA
rnacentral:tRNA from 1 species